GGCGGCGUAGCUCAGAUGGUCAGAGCACGCGGCUCAUACCCGCGGGGUCCGGGGUUCAAAUCCCCGCGCCGCCACCA
rnacentral:tRNA from 1 species